AGAAAUUACCUACAAUUAUGGAAACAAUGAUUGGCCUUGGAGAGAAAAGGUUACUGCUGUGGCCAGACAUACUGGAACAGACACUGUGGACACUGGAAUGGCCUCUAGCUCAAGUUCACAUCUGAUUGACCAGGUCACUGCUGUGGCCAUCCCUACUGGAACAGACACUGUAGACACUGAAAUGGCCUCCAGCUGUAGCCCACUUCUGAUUCACCAGAUAACUGGUGAGGCUACGCUUGUUGCUGAUAUGUUGGAUGAAGAUGAGAUCUGUGACUCUGGCGCAGUUCUACAUGGCAAGCUGAAGGACGCCGUGACUUCAUGUGAAGCUAAGAACAAGGUGUCAUCCUGUGAUUUACAG